rnacentral:rRNA from 1 species
GACGUAGGGCGCGAGCGUUGUCCGGAUUUAUUGGGCGUAAAGAGCUCGUAGGCGGUUUGUUGCGUCGGCUGUGAAAUCCCGAGGCUCAACCUCGGGUCUGCAGUCGAUACGAGCAAACUGGAGUGUUGCAGGGGAGACUGGAAUUCCUGGUGUAGCGGUGAAAUGCGCAGAUAUCAGGAGGAACACCGGUGGCGAAGGCGGGUCUCUGGGCGACAACUGACGCUGAGGAGCGAAAGCGUGGGGAGCGAACCGG